GAUGAACGCUGGCGGCGUGCCUAAUACAUGCAAGUUGAGCGAACAGACGAGGAGCUUGCUCCUCUGACGUUAGCGGCGGACGGGUGAGUAACACGUGGAUAACCUACCUAUAAGACUGGGAUAACUUCGGGAAACCGGAGCUAAUACCGGAUAAUAUAUUGAACCGCAUGGUUCAAUAGUGAAAGACGGUUUUGCUGUCACUUAUAGAUGGAUCCGCGCCGCAUUAGCUAGUUGGUAAGGUAACGGCUUACCAAGGCGACGAUGCGUAGCCGACCUGAGAGGGUGAUCGGCCACACUGGAACUGAGACACGGUCCAGACUCCUACGGGAGGAAGCAGUAGGGAAUCUUCCGCAAUGGGCGAAAGCCUGACGGAGCAACGCCGCGUGAGUGAUGAAGGUCUUCGGAUCGUAAAACUCUGUUAUUAGGGAAGAACAAAUGUGUAAGUAACUAUGCACGUCUUGACGGUACCUAAUCAGAAAGCCACGGCUAACUACGUG
rnacentral:rRNA from 1 species